rnacentral:lncRNA from 1 species
UAAGAAAACAUAAAAACGUCCCCAUAGCUUACAGGCAACAUUUUUAGAGUGUCCUUGUAAAAUUUUAGAAUUUUCCAAUUAUUUUAGAAAUGUAACUAUAGCUUAANACCUCGCACAAAUAAAAACCAAAACAACAACUAAAACACAGUCAACAUAGCCGCAAAUAGGAAACUUGUUUUACACAUUUCCCUUCCUUAUUCUAUCAUUACAAGCUCAUUUUUCAGUUUCUGCAACUUAUGCCUUGUUAUGCAACAAAGAAACAAACACAAAAUGCAGAAAAAUAAAUCACAAGUUUGCACAAACACCACAAAUUGCAUAAACAAAAUUUAUGCAUAAAAUUCUGCAACACAAUCAAAAUCCGACUUUGGACACGCAUUUUAAACAAUUAAGCCAAACAACAUAAUCAUAAGUUCGCACAGCUCUAAAUUAAACCCAGCAUACGCAAGUUAACAAUUUCAGACACUUGCCUACAUUCCAAGUGAUGUCAUCACUAACAACUUUUUGCAUAUAUAAUAAUAACAAGCAAAACAAAAUAUAUGCAUAAAAUUCAACAACAUAAAGAGAAUCUGACCCUGCACACACAUCUUAAACAAUUAAGCAAAAUAACAUAAUCAUAAAUUCGCACAGCUCUAAUUCAGACCCUACACACGCAACUUAACAGUUUAUCCCAAUUCUUAUUGAACUUAAUUGAUGUCAAGUAUAGCAUCAUCAACUUUUAUCCACAAUCAAUUGCAAAUUAAACUCAACAGAAGGUAGCAACAACAUUACUCAACAACUAAUCAAUCAAAUAUUCAAAUCAUUCUUAUCCUCACCUAGUAACCUUCAUCCACAAUAACUUACAAAUUAAACUCAAAAGAGGAUAGCAACAACAUUACUCAACAACUAAUCCAUCAAAUACUCAAAUUAUUCUUAUCCUCACAUAAUAAAAUCUCUAACACUAGUUUGAGAUUCAAAUCUUAUUAAUACUUAUGUCAAAUUCAUCAACAAUAGUAUCUUUUACAACGUCAAACCAUAGAGUAUCCACCAAUAUUUAUUACAAGAAAAUUUACAAGUUGUCAAAUAACUCAAUAUCAACAAAAAGCUCUAAUAACUUUGUCAAUACUCUAAAACUUUUUUCUCAAUGAUCAACAACUCCAAAGUACCCAAGUUAAGGAACUUAAACACAAAAUAGAAAUCAUUUAGUCUAAAAAUUACUUUGGAAAAAUCCUAUUUCAAAAUUAAGAUAAAGGAGAAAAAUUAGAGGUUAAGAAAGUAAGAACAAAAAUCAAUUCAAAAUCCUAUUGACCAAAUUUUUUUCCCAAACAUGUGCCAAAUUCGGAUUUGGGGAAAAAGAAUAUUAGGGUUUUAAAAAAUUGAUGUUUAAAUUCAACACUCACCUUGGAGAAGUUAAUGGCUGCUUAGAGAACCUUAACACUGUGGUUCUGUACAUUCUGUUGCCAUAAAAACGAAAGAGAUAGAUAAAAACAUGAAUGAAACAUAAAAGAAAAAGAAGAAGAUAAAAGUAUGGUGACCGGAAAAACCAUUACCGUGGAAGAGGAAGAAAAGGGUCAGCGGAAAAGAUGCUCCUUUCCAAAAACUAAUUGGAUGAAUGAAAAGAUCUCGUUGAAUGGAUAAGGAAAACCAUGUUAUUUCAUCCGAUCCGUAGACAUGGCGGCCGGAUCGACGCCGGAAAGAUGGGGGAUGGUGGUGGUUUGUUGAAGGAAGAUGGAAGAAAGAAACGCGUUGGUGCGUACAGAAGAAGAGAGAGAAGGGAAAAAUAGUAACAACGAUUUUCCAAUCUAUUUUAACUACAUACUAAUAAA